rnacentral:rRNA from 1 species
UACGUAGGUGACAAGCGUUGUCCGGAUUUACUGGGCGUAAAGAGCGCGCAGGCGGUCGAUCAAGUCGAGUGUGAAAGCCCCCGGCUCAACUGGGGAGGGUCAUUCGAUACUGAUCGACUCGAAGGCAGGAGAGGGUAGUGGAAUUCCCGGUGUAGUGGUGAAAUGCGUAGAUAUCGGGAGGAACACCAGUGGCGAAGGCGGCUUUCUGGCCUGUUCUUGACGCUGAGGCGCGAAAGCUAGGGUAGCAAACGGG